GUGGAACUUACACAUGAGUCUUUUAGCUAACUGAAGGUUUUCUCUGAAACUGUUGCUGUACUGCCACGUUUUUGUCUGUUACCAUACCAGAGUAAACUGUGUAACGGUAUGUGGCCACCUGGAGCUAAAGAGUUCAAGAGUGACAUUAAGAGGUUGAAUGGGUAAAUGGGAUAGUUUAAUAGAUUUGACAACUAUAUUACAUGUAUAUAAUUCCUUAGUGAGGUUUACUUAUUUGAAAGUAAAGAAGUCUGGGCUGUUAUAUUACAAAGGUUUUCCUCUCUUUUUUCCUCUAUUCGUCCC
rnacentral:lncRNA from 1 species